UGGUACCCAGAUCUUUAAGGAGGAAACAGGGAUCGUUCUUGGUACCAUGUACUGCUUCGUUCACUUGAGCAUUCAAGAGUUUAUUGCAGCCCUUUAUGCACAUCUGUUUCUAGACAUAAAGAAGAAAAGUAUAUUUGUUCAUGUGUCUACAGAACAGGAAAAUAAAAGUGGAACCAUGAUUGAUUUGCUCAAGACUGCAGUGGACAAGGCACUAGAGAGUGAUAAUGGACACCUGGAUCUUUUUCUACGAUUCCUCCUUGGUUUGUCACUCCAGUCCAAUCAGAGACUCUUACAGGGUCUGUUGACACAGAACAAUAGAAAUGAGCAGAGCAAAAAGGAAAUAGUUCAGUACAUCAAGCAGAAAUUAGAAUCUAAUCUGUCUCCAGAGAGAUCCAUCAAUCUUUUCUACUGUCUGAAUGAACUGAACGACCAACUCUGGUGAAAGACAUUCAGACCCACCUUAGCAAAGGAAGUCUCUCAUCUGCUGGUCUUUCACCUGCCCCAGUGGUCUGCUUUGGUCUUUGUGUUGUUGACAUCAGAGGAGGAGCUGGAGGAGUUUGAGCUUCAGAAAUUCAAGAAAUCAGACGAGUGUCUCAUUAGAUUAUCAGCAGUCAUCAAAACCUGCAAAAGAGCUCUGCUAAAUGAUUGUGGCUUAACAGACAAAAGCUGUCCAGCUCUGGCUACAGUUCUUGGAUAAGAUACUAAUAUGAAAGAGCUGAACAUGAACAAUAAUAAUCUGCAGGAUUCAGGAGUGGAGCUCCUCUGCACUGGCCUGAAGAAUUUUAAUUGCAAAUUAGAGACACUGAGUCUGAAGAACAACUGUAUCACAGAAGGAGGGUGUCAUGUUCUGGCUGCAGCUCUAAAUU